AUUUUGUUACCUCCAUUUUAAGAAGAGUAAUUUUUAUCUACUUGUAAAAAUGGUUUACGUCAAUUUUCCACAAAAUUUAACCGAAGAAGAGCUCAUUUUGAAGCAAAAAUAUGCCACUUUGAAAAAGAAGAAAAAGGCAUUACAAGCAAUAAGAACAGCAAAACCAGAGCGGGUACAAGCUGAGGCAGCUCCUGCUAAAAGACCUGCAGCUGAGUCUGCAGAAGAUGCCAAGGAACAAGCCAAGAAACUGCUCAAGUCAGGGUCGAUCAAAAUCAAAGUAGACAAUGAGAAACAAAGUUUUAAACGAUCCAAGAACCAAGAGAGAAAAUUAAAGGAUCCUGAGAAGACCCCAACAGCUGUAGGAUUUCAGCCUUUUUCAGCAGCUCAAGCCGAGGAAGAAGACAAAGAUGGAAAUAAAACUUCUCAGAGACCAAGGAUGAGGGGCCUGUAUGACAGUUUUGUCAGCGGAGGUUAUGAUCGUGAAAGAGAAGAAAGAAGGGAAGAGAAGGCUCAGCAGGAGCGACGGGAUCGAGACUACGACCUGCCUAAGAAAGGAAACACGAUUUAUGUUAAUGGAUUAGGGAUCACUGAGGAGAUCCUCAGGAAGGCUUUCUCUAAUAUAGGCACCAUACUCAACAUCAAUAUGGAGCGGGAUAAACAUGUUGGUUUUGUUUCUUUUGAGAGAAUGGAGUCGGCAGAUACAGCCAUUGCUGAGGUGAAUGGGGCAAUGGUUGAAGGAAUUCAGUUAAAAGUGACCAUGGCACGUAGACAGCCAUCUUUUGAUCAGAACAAUGACCAGUCUACCAAAUCCUUGGUCCUCCAUAGCUGCCAGUAAUUCUCAGAAGAGCUCCUACAAAGACAAGAGGGAGAUUGUGAGCUAUGAUGCGGAGGAUAUCUUUUGAUUGUCAGCCCUGUUGUAGUGUUGUACAAGACUAGACCACUCGGUGCAGCCACUAUGUCCAUUAUAGUUAAAGUCCAUUUUUAACAAGAGGUCAACAUCUCAUCGUCAAUACAUUGACAUACAGUGCGCAGUGUUAACUGAGGACUAAAUGAGAGUUCACAGAAAAACAACACAUAAUUUUUGUGGAGUUUAUUCUACCUUUACUGCAAGAAAAUUUGAAAAAAGUUUGCAAAGACAGUAACAUCAAAAGAAUGAGCUGAACAUGCGAAGCCUAACUCAGUCCCUGUACCUAGCAAAUCUGUCUCUGUGACAAAAGCUAUUCAUGUACAAAAGUUGAAUUUAUAUUUUCAAAAAUGUACAUUGUAAAGCAAAACUAAAAUUAUAACAGAAAUAGGGUGAAAAAUGAAAUAAAUGUUCUUCCCACUAGUUAAUUUCGAAAUUUUUGUUACUAUAUCCUAAUUAAUCAUUAUUAAGUUAUAAAGUUUGAAAUUACAUGUUGCAUUUGUAAGAUUGAUUUAGCAAUACAUGUGACUGAUAUCUACAAAUAAGUUUCACUCAGUAUAUGAAUUUACAUCAAAAUCUUGGGUUUUUUUUAAAACUGUCAGGUACAGAGCCAAACUUGUGUCAAGCUGAAUCUAUCAGUUGAUAUUCUAAAAGCCUAAUUUUUCAAACCAUGUAAUGGUCUUUUUUUGCAAAUCUUUGAAUAUAAUUUUUUCUAAAUAAACAUUUUUUAUAUUUUUUCAUCAAAAUCCUACAUCAAUGAAUCCUCAGAAACAAGUUUGGACUUGUCCUCUUUCCUCUUCUGUGUGUAAUACAGUUAACAUGCACAAUACAUGUGUACAAAUCUCAGAUCUACAGAAAAGUAAGAAUAGUACAAUAAAUAGUGAGAUUCUAUACUAUG
rnacentral:misc_RNA from 1 species